UCAUUAUGUAAGUACUUCAAUAUAAGUAUACUGAAAAAGCCAUGAUAUAUUUUUUCUGCUUUUCUUGCAAAAAUACAUUACGACCUUUCUGAUGACCUAGUGAAAUAAAUCCACGAGGAUCUCAAUAGCUAUAGGAACAAUCUGACCACACUCAGCCCCCCUUUCAUCACUGCACACGCCCAGCGGACUGUGACCAGAAGGGUUCCUUAGCUUGACUGAGAGCACCUCCAGCCGGCGCAGGUGCAGGCUGAAUGCUUUCCGAGAGAGCGCCCGGGCCGACUCCUGCUGCUUCCUGGUUGCUCUAGAGAUGUCCUGCUCUAGGGCGUGCUCAUUCACCAGAGAUGGAAAGCCAGAACUCAGCCCCCGGGGGUGGCCACGCCAAAAUCCCUUCUCCUCCAUUUUCCUCAGGAUUUGGGGCACGCACGCACGCGCACCUGGCGCGUUUUAAGACUCAAACUGCUGCCGACUGCGUGGGAGUGCAGCAAUGUUAACGCACGCCAUCUGCUCUUCCCAGACUGUCUUCAUUCACAGCCAGCACAGUCGUGCACAAGCCACAGAGCCAAACUCAACUGCCAUGAUGGUUGCUGACACGCAAAACUCCCCAAACUCCCACCCUGGUUAACAGCCUCUCAACCCUGGCUCCUGCAGUGUUAGGAGAGGCCCCCGUGCCACUGUUAGAUCCUGCAGCGGCGAGGACUCCAUGGGCCCGCCUAGGAAACGUACGUGCCAGCAGCUCCCAGAAUUCCGGUGCGGCUUCUGAGGUAGGAUGUAUGAAACAGCAGGCUUUCUGCUUAUCUCCUCAUCGGCUAGUCUUAUGACUGAGGUCGAGCAGCGUGUACUCGAAGACCCGCGAUGUGGUGACCCCCGAGCUCAUCUACAUGCAGCGUGGACUCAGCAGAGCUGACUUCUGUGACGUAAGCUUUGUGACUGAGCAUCCUGGCUACACUCGCCUGGUAACUCCAGAACUGGGGUGCACGUCACAGACCCCUGCUGCCUUGUCAACACGUCCUUCAGCUGCGAGGAGACUCAGCCACGCCUCCGGAGCUGUAUCACCUUUGGCCACUAACUCCUGACACACUCAGAAUGCCGAAACCGCUUCUCAAAAGACCAUGCAAAGGGACCAGCAGUUAGCGUAAUGGCUAUGUCGCUGGACUCCCACGUGUUCGACUG